rnacentral:rRNA from 1 species
UUCCGGUUGAUCCUGCCGGACCUGACUGCUAUCGGAUUGAUACUAAGCCAUGUGAGUCAUUGUAGUAAUACAAGGCAGACGGCUCAGUAACACGUAGUCAAUCUACCCUAUGGACGGGGAUAACCUCGGGAAACUGAGGAUAACACCCGAUAGAUCAUAAUGCCUGGAACGGUUUAUGGUCCAAAUGAUUCGUCGCCGUAGGAUGGGACUGCGGCCUAUCAGCUUGUUGGUGAGGUAAUGGCCCACCAAGGCUAUUACAGGUACGGGCUCUGAGAGGAGAAGCCCGGAGAUGGGUACUGAGACACGGACCCAGGCCCUAUGGGGCGCAGCAGGCGAGAAACCUUUGCAAUGUGCGCAAGCACGACAAGGUUAAUCCGAGUGUUUCCUGCUAAAGGAAUCUUUUGUUAGUUGUAAAACCACUGACGAAUAAGGGGUGGGCAAGUUCUGGUGUCAGCCGCCGCGGUAAAACCAGCACCUCAAGUGGUCAGGAGGAUUAUUGGGCCUAAAGCAUCCGUAGCCUGUUCUAUAAGUUUCCGGUUAAAUCCAUUAGCUCAACUAAUGGGCCGCCGAAAAUACUGUAGAACUAGGGAGUGGGAGAGGUAGACGGUAUUCGGUAGGAAGGGGUAAAAUCCUUUGAUCUAUUGAGGACCACCUGUGGCGAAGGCGGUCUACCAGAACACGUUCGACGGUGAGGGAUGAAAGCUGGGGGAGCAAACCGGAUUAGAUACCCGGGUAGUCCCAGCUGUAAACGAUGCAGACUCGGUGAUGCGCUGGCUUGUGGCCAGUGCAGUGCCGCAGGAAGCCGUUAAGUUUGCCGCCUGGGAAGUACGUACGCAAGUAUGAAACUUAAAGGAAUUGGCGGGGGAGCACACAAGGGUGAAGCCUGCGGUCAAUUGGACUCAACGCGGAAAUCGUCG